UCGAAUCGGCCUCCACACGCAUCAAAUCUAUCCAAAAUUAGAACGAGGACGUCAAAAUAAGCUAAGGGAACAAAGCCCAAGCGAAAACAAUCAAUAAAGGGCACAAAUCCCGAAAUUACCAAAACCUGACCCCUAGGUCCACUUCUCGAAACUCAGAAAUUUUCACAACAAUUGAUUCCUUCUCUCCCCACGAGUUCGUACAUAUCAAAAGUUCUCAAAUCCGACACCAAAUGGUCCUUAAAAUCCCAAAUCAAAAGAACAAUUUUUCAAGCCCUAUUUCUUCAAUUUUAGGAUUAGUUUUCAUGAUUUUCUAGGUGGAAUUCACAUAAUAAUCUAGUUUUUAGUCCAAGAAUCUUACCUCCCAACAAUUCCCCUUGAAUAACUCUUCAAUCUCCUUCAAAAAUUUCCCAAAAUGGCCAACUAUAGAGGAAAUAAACCCAAUCCUCAUGGAUAAGAUGAGUUUAAAACAUUUCUGCCCAGGCAUAUAUUUCCUUCAUCGCGAUCGCGGAACAUCCCUCGCAAUCGCGAAGAACAAAACUUCAGCUCCAAGAAUUUACUCUAUGCGAACGCGAUACAGCCUACACGAAUGCGAUGCCCAGGAAACCUUACACUACGUGAUCGUGGACACACCUCCACAUUCGCAAUGCACAAAGAUCCAUCCAAGACUCAGGUCCAUUUAACUCUAUGCGAACGCGACUACCCUCCCACGUUCGCGAUGAAUAACUUUCCCACACUAUGCGAUCAUGAGCCUCUCUUUGCGAACGUGAAGAACAACUGGACAGCCUCCUCAAAUCCUUCUACGUGAUCGCAAAGCACAAAAUCCUGCAACAGUUGAACCUGCAAUUUUCUGCAAUUUUUUCAACUUCAAAUGAUCCGAUUGACCACUCGAAACUCACUCGAGGCCCCCGGGACCUCACCCAAAAGCACCAACACAUCCUAAAACCUUAUUCAAACUUGUUCCAAUCAUCAAAACACCUAAAACUACAUCAAAUCACCCAAAACACAUCAGAUUCAAGCCUAAGUUUCUAAAGUCUCCCGAAAUAUGCUUUUGAUCAAAAACCCAACCAAACCACGUCCGAAUGACCUGAAAUUUUGCACACACAUCUCAAAUGACACAAUGAAGCUACUGCAACUCUCAGAAUUCCAUUACAACCCCUAUAUCAAAAUCUCGCCUAUCAACCGGAAAUCGCCAAAAUAUCAACUUCGUCAAUUCAAGCCUAAUUCUACUCCGAACCUCCAAAACCCAUUCCGAUCACGCUCCUAAGCCAUAAAUCACCUCCCAAAGCUAACCAAACCAUCGAAACUCAGAUCCAAGCCCUCUAACACAUAAGUCAACAUCCGGUUGACUUUUCCAACUUAAACUCCCUUAAAAGAGACUAAGUGUCUCAAACCUUACCAAAAUCAUUCCAGAUUCGAUCCGACCAACCCGAUACCAUAAAACAUGAAUAAUGAAGCAUAAAGAAGCAGAAAUGAGAGAAACGGAGUGGUAACUCAUGAGACGAAUGGCCGGGUCAUCACAAUUUUUACCAUUAAGCCUCUCUCAUUUUGUUCUUUCUCUCAACUUAUCGUCGCCUUAUGGUGCCUGUGAAGGUUUUCACCGAUAAGACUCUCUCAUUUUGUUUUUUUAUUUUUAUUUCCUCUGAUUCUGUAGAUGACAAGACACUGACCAUAGUAAAAAUAUCAUAUGCUCCUGGCAUGUCUAGCUCGACACUCUUAAAGAUUAUCUGGGAGGUCUUUUUGGACUUUAAUGUGGCUUUUGGACAGGGAUAGAAAGAAAAGAUAUCAUAAAGGCUCAAAAUAACUAAAACAACGAGGUUAAUUAACUUACAACUUUUGGAAUCCAUUCUAAAACUUUGUCCCAAUUUCUAAAACAAGGGAAUUUGAUUCUUUUUUUCUCUUUUUCUUUUUGAGACGGUAUUUCUAAGAAAGACUGCCCCACUCUCGACUUUGUGGGAUUAUGAAAUAUUUUAUUUGGUGCAACUGAACUUUAAGGCUGCCGACAUAUCUUUUGGUGACAAGAAUCAGGUCGAACGUAGUUCAAAAGGAUGCUUUCUAUUUGUUGCUAUUUUUCUUUUUUUCUCUCUUUUUUUCUCUUCUUUUUUUCUUUUUCCUUUUUUUUCUUUAUCUCUAUUUUUUUCUUCUUUUUUUUCUUUUAAAAUUUUCCUUUUGGAAUGAACUUUCUAAAACAAACCUAUGGGGACAUGAACUUUUUUUGCACUAAACUCGAUUCAAAAAGACGGGAGGUCAAGAAAAUUAACAUAGGCUCAAAAGGGGUACCGAAUGGUAUAAAGUGUUUGGGUAGCUGAAAGAGGGCCUCCCAAUCCCUGAAAAAGCCAAGUACGACACAUGAAACUUGAAAAUUAAAAAGGAAAAGCACACACAACAUUUCUUUUACAGCUUCGGCAUUGAUAUCACUGAUAUGCUUUCCACUUUUUUUCUGUGCCUUAUCAAGUACAAAACUCCUAUUGGGUGAUUCUUCUUCACGACGGAUAUCCUCCAUUUGUUUGGAGAAAACUCCCUUGGCUUUAUCUCGUAACAUGAGAUACACUUGAACUCAAAGUUGCUCGCUUCAAUAUGUCUGAGAUGCACUCUCUUGCAACAAAUUCCUGUCAUACUAUUAACUUCCCAGAUUAUCUGCCUCAAUUUCACACAAUUCGGGCUUUAAAUGAUCUCAAGAUGUCCAAAUUUUUGCCUACUUCCCUCAAAUGUCCCGAUCAUUUUCAAAAUUGUUUCAUUACUUCAUAACUAAACUAACUUUUAAAACUAGGCUGAGAAUUACGCGUACAUGUCAUGUCACUAGAAUCAGCAUGAAAAGACUAUAAAAGGAAAAAAGAACUAAACAAAAACUGACUCAAAAUAACAGAAAAUAGGAAAUUGCAUUAGACAGACGGUAAAAGGGUUUGAACAACUAAACAAGCAAAAUACACUAGGGUUACAACCCUGGAAAAACCUAAAUAGCACUAAAGGGUACUACGAUUAAAUGAACUAAGCAAAAUAAAAGGUUAGAAAGGUUUGAAUCACAAGACAAUAUCCAGAUUACAACCCUGAUAUAACCCGGACAAUAGAAAUGACAACGAAAUAAACCACCAAGACUCCUCCCCGGCUAGCUAAGAAAGAAGCGUCUUUCCAAUUACCAAGCUCGGCAUCUUAGCCACUGAGUUCCACAUAAAUAUUACCAAGACCAUUACCAAUUUCAAUAUCACCAAAUUUAUUCAGCAAGUUCCCAAGAGGAUUCUUAUACUCCCUAUCACCAUGUAUCAUCCCUACAAAGUGUGCGUCAUCAUGUGCAGGUAAAGGAUUUUGCACGAUAUUCUGGGUGUAACUGUCCUCGAUCACAAUUAUCCCUUCUUGAAUCAUUCUUUCUAUUUCCCUUUUCAAAGCAAGACAAUCUUAAAUGCUAUGCCCUUGGACAUUAGAGUGAUACAUGUACCGUACAGUAGGAUCAAAACUUUUUGCAUAUGGGUCCGGAGUAUAGCCGAGGAGCGGAUCAAUCAGGCUAGAAUAUUUUACCUUUUCAAACAGGCUUGUGUAGGAUUCUCCGAUUGGUGUGAAUCUAUUUCUUUGUCUUUGUUCCCCUUCAUGCCCCAGUUUUAUAGGGUUGUUAGGUUACGAAGGCAAAAGUGCAUUAUGAUUGCUGGCGAUCUCCAUAAGGAGUGACCCAAUGGUUGGACAGAUGACCGGAUGUUGUUUAGAGGAUAAUACUGGGGUGGAUUAUGUGGAGCUCGAGGAUAGGUUUGGGGUUGGGAUUGAGGCUGAGUAUAUUGGUGAGGCGGACCCGUUGGACCAUGUCGUGAUCCUGAGACAACCAUGGCAACAUCAUCAUGUUCCUUUUGACCCAACAAGCUUCCCGUGUUGUUCUGAAUUGCUUGUGUUAUGGCUUUUAAAGCAGAAUAGCUCAUGAUCUUGCUCGACAUCAGCCCCUCUUCUACCAUUUCUCCCAUUUUUACCACAUUAUUAAAAGGCUUACCCACAACCGAGAUCAAAUUCCCAAAGUAAGUUGGCUCUUGAGCUUGAAGAAAGUACUCAACCAUCUCGUCUUCUUCCAUCAGGGGAUUGACUCGGGCAGCUUGCUCUCUCCAUCUGAGCAUGUAUUCCCUAGAAAUUUCACUAGGCUUCUUUUCCAUCUUGGUGAGGUACAUGCGAUCUGGGAUGAUUUUAUAUUGUACUGAAAGUGCCGGGCAAAGGCCUGAGCCAUAUCGUCCCAUGUGUACUACCUGCUAGCGUCUUGACGGGUGUACCACUAUAGAGCUUCCCCACUCAGACUUUGACUAAAAUACGCCAUCAAUAAUUUGUCCUUCCUAUCGGUACCUCUCAAAUGGGCCACACGAUCUCCAUGUCCGUCAUACAAGUCAAACUUUGGAAUCUUAAACCCAGUAGGUAGUUGGAUGUCAGGAAACAAGCACAAGUCUUUGUAAGACAUGCUCAUAUGGCUCCCUAUCCCUUGCAUGUUUCUUAAGACCGCUCUAAGAUUUUUACCUUCCUAGAUAUCUCAUCGUGCUCUACUGUCUUAGCAGGUUUUUCAUUUUCAACGGAGGCUCAAAAUGAGGAACGUGGGACUAUGGAUCCGAGACUUUGAAAGUUGGUUCUGGAGCAUAGUAUUGGGCAUCAGGGACUUUGAACACGGUGUCGCUAGAGGAUUGAGGAAAAGUAGCUGGUGGAGGAGCUACAAAAACAGGAGUUGUCAAAGGAGCAGGAUAUGAGGUGGUUUUGGCAGGUGGAGUGUGAAAAGGUUGUGGAAAAAUAUCAGCAGCAGUAUGAAGCCGGAUUUGUGAUGGUGGUGGAAUGGUGACGAGGCUUUCAGUGUAGUUAGUGGGAACUAAUGGUGGAGGAUGCCCACUAAUCCAGGCUUGGUAUAUUUAAGUCAUCUGUCCUUUCAACCUUAAGGCCUCUUCUUUCAACUUAGAUUCUGAUUCAAUAAUUCCCUUGGACGAACCAACAACACUUGUGUCCAAGUCUUUGUUAACCAUGGCUACCUUGCUCUUUGACCUUUUGUUGUAUGGAAGAGUUACCAGUUUAAGAACCAUAAAACAACCACCCUUCUGCUAUAAUGAAGAUAGUGAAGAGGAACAAAAUGAAGUCAUCAUGUUAGCGUUAGGGCAUUUAACAACUAAAAAUAUCACAUUGCGUGCAAUGCAUCCAACAACAAUUAACGGUUCAACAAUGAUUUCGAGGGUCACAAGGUCACUUGGCAUCAUCCCAAUUUGUACAUUUCAAUCUUCUCUUUUCUUUUAUUUUCUAGCACUUCUUGGCUUUCUCAUUUUCCUUCCUCUUUUUUUCUAAUUGUCACUCAUUUCUUUCCUCUCAUUUCUCACAUCCCAUAGUUUCCCCUUUUUUUCCUUUUUUUCUUCUUUUUUUCCUUUUUCCUUUUAAUUUUUUUUAAAAAAUAAUUCAAUCGAACCCUAUGUAGUUUGCCUACGUAUCGCUCCUCGAAAGACGAAAAAUAGGUAUGCAUAGUUCGGGAAAAUCGGAUAGGGAGAGAAUUUAAAAAAAACACUAAUUUGAAGUAAAUAUAUUUUUCUCUUUUUCUUAAAAAAUGAUGAAACAUGUAAAAUCUUUUUGGAUUUACUUUUUCUCUUUUUUUUUAUUUUUGAAAAAAUGAUGGGGAAAGUGCAAAAUCGUUUUUGAUUUUUUUUUGAUCUUUUCUUGAAAAAGUGUGAAAGAAAAUUAUAACUAGGCCCUACUUGCUUUAUUUUAUACUUCAACCUUUUUUCUUUCUUAUUUACCCUCAACCCUCAUUGGUCCGCCAAAUAACCCCUUUUACCUUUGAGGAUUGCAACAUGUAGUACAUAGGAAGCAUGAGAAUGGUCUUUUAUUUUUUGGGUACACCUGUCCUAGACGGAUCCAACCCCUGUGUUGAGUCCCUCAAGUCAAAUGCACGUGAUGCAAACAAACGUUCCAACUAGGGUUCCGGCAUGAGGCUAUGUUAUUCUUGGUUUAAAACCCGGGUGUAUUGUUCUAGACCUGGCUUACCCAAGCGGACAACUCAAGCCGGAGGGGGGAGGGGCAGCGUACCAGUAACCAAAAUAUCAUCCGACUUUGCAACUUAUAAAUUAAGGAUAUGAAACUAACAGAAAAGAAGUCACACCAACAUGCGCUUCCUAGAAGAUUUAGAAGAGAAGGGUUUCACAGCAGUUUAUAUACAAUCAAAUAAUAUCAAAGCGGUAAAAAGCGACAUUUAGCAUAUUAGGCCCAAGCAUGUAGUAAAACUCAGAUAAUAAAUAAAAGCCAAAUAUAACAAUUAUUCUAAGCUCAAAUUUUUGAACCCUGAACCAGAGAUUCUGUCUUUGAUCCCCAGCAGAGCCGCCAGAGCUGUCACACCUCCUUUUUCUACCCGAAAGGGGAUAUAAGGGAGUUUUUCAAUUAAAGUGACAAUAAUCGAAAUUGGGUUAUUUAUUCAAAUUCAGAGUCUUCACUUGGGAUAAUAUAUGGUGUCCCAAGUCAUCGGUUUAAAAUCUUGAAUCGAGGAAGUUGACUCUUAUAUAUGGUCUGUGAACACAGAAAUCCCGGUAAGGAAUUCUGUUUACCCAGGAGAAGGUGUUAGACAUUCCCGGCUUUCGUGGUUUUAGCAAGGUCACAUAACUAUUAAUAUUGGCCUAAUUAUCUAAUUUAUUACAUAUCUAGAACCUAGCAUGAAUUUUUAAACCUUUUAAAAAGCGUUUUUAAUUAUUUAUGGAAUUAUUUCUGGAACAAGUUUCGGUUGUCGUACACUUGUAUUUUUGUACCCAUGACGAAUCAUGUCACGGGAACCGUACCCAUGAUCUACAAUAUAUUUAUUUCUUAUUAUUAGAAGUUAAGGUCGGGUCACAUGAAAUGUACACCCGAAUGGGGAUUAUGUAUCAUGACUAUACCAUGGGAACCGUACCCAUAGUCAUGAUUUAUUUAUUAUUCGCGCCUAAAGCAAAGUACGAUGUUUAUAAAUUAUUUUCUAAACUACUUUGAGAUUAUUUCAAGGCCAUGAUCUAUAGAAUUAUUGAAGAAGAGCAUGAAGUAAAUUAAUUUAGGAAAGAUAGCUAGCUUACGAUGUUGAUGGGCUUGGUAGACUAAAAUUAAUUGGCCCAAGAUUUCCAAGUCAUUAGAAUUCAACAGUCCACUUAUACUAUUCAUCUAUAUAACCUGUUAUUCCAUCAAACAAACCUAAGUAUUUAAAUAAAUACAGUACAAUAUUUAAAGCACGGAUCAAGGUGACCUUUUUUAUCCACAAUUAUCUUUCUAGCAGAUUCAUAAAAAUAUAUAUUCGAAAUAACUCUAAAUACUAAAAUAACUUAAUGAAUAGUAAUAGAAGCAUGAGAACAUUUAUGGAUCAAACUAUACAUGGAACAAAAUAUUUAUUACUUAGUUAGAAUCUAAAAGAAUUUGACCUAUCAGUGAAUGCCCUUUUUUCUUCCUCUUAAUCAAGUUAAAUGAAUUAUAUACUAGUGAUCCAACAAUAACCUUUACUGUUAAAUAAAAAGCAUAUGAAGACAAUAUAAGUGACAAUCAAAUGAAUACAUUGAUAAUCUUAAACCGAUAACUUUAUUUCACUAAAUUAAUGAACUGAAAUUGUAAAAAAAACAGGAGUUGAAUCUAACCUUCAAAGCCGAGUUUGAACAUUGUAUUAAAUGAAUUGAGUCGUAAAUAUAAACUUAGCAACUGAACAAUUCUGGACCGGAGAUUUUGUCGGCGACAACGAGCGGAACCAGCGACUGGAGACCUCAAACGGCAAUCUCAAACAAACCUCAAAUCAGUAGCUUCGAACGUAUCUCACUGGAUUCAACUCGACUGAGCUUGGAUGACGGUUUUGGGCGUCACAAUGGCUGUUUUAUGAUGGAUUUCAAUCUUUGGCUACUCUUUGGUGUUUCGCUGGAUUUCUUGCCAGAUCUGUCACCUUCCGUCUCAACAUUAACGGUCAGAAAUUGCUUAACAAAGGAGCUUCGUUUGGGUGGUGGACAGUUGGUCUAGACGGAUUUGUUAGUCCAUUGACAGCUGGAGAUGGUUGGCUAUUUUUGUUGGUUUUUGGGUGGCAGAAUGGAGGUGGAGAUGAGGUGUUCUAGUUGUUGUGGUGGUCGUGAGUGAGAGGUGAAGAAGCAGCAGUGGCUGCUUGUUAUCGGUCACUGGUGUUCCUUUGUCUCUAGGUUAGUGAAGGUGUGUUCUAGGUUGUGAAAAUAUUGAAGAAGAACGACUGAAGCUUAGAGAAGAAGAUAGGAUUAUGGUUUUUUUUU
rnacentral:lncRNA from 1 species